ACAGUUUUGAAGUUACGACAUUAUUUUCAGAUUGUUUUUUAAAACCUGUGAUGACCUCCAACUAAUUUAUUCAGUAUAUAGCGAGUAUUGGCUUGGCCGUGUAUACUUAUCACAUAUAGUGGUGUUAUCCCUGUGAAAGGGAUGAGUAUUGGAAACAUAUCGUGAACUGAAUUGUACCCUUGGUUCUGGCGAUGGUAACUGGACAUUUUAGUACUGAUUUGCUGAGGGACUGAGGAUCACCUUAAUUGAAUGGAAAUGACGGCUGUCUACUGUAUGUACGCAUUGAUGGUACUUGGCUUGGUGGACUUGGGGGUCACACAAACAUUGUACGAGGACGUUCCACAAUACAUGCAAGGCACUGGGAGCUAUGACAAGAGAAAUGCAGAGAGUGUCCGGACAUUCCACCGUAAAACAAGAUCUCCAACAUGUGGAUGUUGCGUUCAGAGCAGAAUGACUAACCAGUUUUGUUGUGAUUUGUGUACCAACUUAGUGAAGCGAUCGGAUCGGGAACCCAAGCUGGAACAAACUGUGGCCCCGAUAUAUUCAGAAAAAAGGAUGUCUAGCAGUUGCUUCUGUUGCAAAACCACCCUAAACAGGAAAUGUUGUAAGAACUGCAAAUUCUUCGUCUAGGAGCUGUCAUGUUGCCGGUGCCUCUCAUUGCCAGAUUUCUUGGAACUCUCCUGCAAGGAUGUACGUUUCGUUCGAUCUUUCUCUGUGUAUGACGAAAACAUACUCUACUCAUUGGUUGUUUUGAAAAGCUAUAUUCAUCAGACUUAUCAAAGGUGGGACUAUUGACAAUAUUAAGUAACGCACACCCGAGGUGCUGACGACUCUAAACGUAUGUGUUCCUAUGUUGAAUCUCCUCAGCGCAGUGCAAUCUUUGGUAUGUUGGGUUUUGUUUAAGUAACUCUUGGAUUAGGCUAUAUUUGGCCAAAAUAAGCAUUUCUGACAUUUCCAGAUACACAUGCCCAUAGCAUGAAAGUGAUCCUUACAUUAUAAUUUGACGAUGACUAGGUAAUUAAAAGAAAUAUAAUAAAUGUCAGAAUUGAAUAACAA